UUUCAAAGCAGUAUUUCUGUAGCUUGUGAGGCAGGUUCUCCAGACACAGGGCGAGGAGCGGCGGGGGGAGAGGGCAGCCCCUGUGCAGGUGUUUCAGGAGCCUUGGGAUGCCUCCUGACCCGUGGAUGCGGCUCCUCCAAGACGCUGGAGUCACAAGGGACUGGAGAGGGAGGCAGCUGGGCCUGCGAAUGGCGGCAUGCAUGUCAGCUAACCUACAAGACAUCUUGAGCUGGAUGGCAAACCAUCAUCUGAAGAUGAACUAAAAUUGAGAUGCUAUACUUCCCUGCCAAGUCUUCCUUCCUGCUUGACCUUGACAGUGUCAGGCUCUUCAUAGGGUAUGGAUAUGCAUAAAAUGCCAGCAGCAAAUACCUACAUUUUCCACUUGGUGAAAACAGCGAAAGAAAAGAAAUAAGCAGCUCUUGUGUAUACCAGUGCUCAACCAAAACAAUGGAAAAAGCGCAUAAACAGCAUGAGAUAUUCUGCAGUUACCCUGGAGCCCCACAGACCUGGCUGUGUCCAUCAUCUGCACAGCUACUAUUCUUCUGCUUUUGCUUUUUAUUCGGAGUCCACAAAUAAUGGUGACUGCAUGUGGCGUAAGUGAUGUACCGUGGUAACAGCUAUACGUUACCACAGUAUUAUCUCACUGUACUCAAUGUGUCAUACUGUAAACAUAUGAAACAGGAAUAAAAAAUCAGCAUUGAGAUACAGAUGAGUAUGAUAGUUGGUAGUUUCUAUGUCAGUGUAUAGCAUAGGAAAAUACCACCAUUUUUGGUAUGCUUUUGAUCAUGUAUUACUCGCUUAAAGUUAACCAAUAAUUUAAAUAAUUGAAAAUCACAUUGAAGCACAAGGAAGCAGUUUUGCAUGUUUGCUCUCUUCCAAAAUUUUUC